rnacentral:lncRNA from 1 species
AGUUACACGACACAAAUGCUAACUCUGUCCCAGGAAUGGACUUGAAGAAAUUGACAUCGACCUGCCAGUCAGUCAUAAGUACGUCUGAAAAGUUGCUCUGACCAGUCACAGGUGCACCGACAGUGAGACAGCUCUGGGUCUUUACCAGUCCCUUUUCAGCUGAAGGUGUGGGAGGAGAAAAAUCUGUGGGGAACCUAUGUGCAAGCAUUCUUCAGAAGAAAGGAAAAGGAGAGAUUGCCUGGAAGAUCAUAACUCAGAAAAUUCUUUGUUAAAGGAAGUAAAGCACAUCAUAGAAAACCUCUCUGGUAUGCUUCAUGAGAUUUGAGAAAACACAAUAUUAAUGAAACCAUAGAAGAAAGGGUGAGCAGAAAUAAGGUGAUAGGACAAGCUAAAAAAGAAGAUAGGUGGACUAAGGAAGGAAGAAAUACAGAGAAAUGGAAACGUUAUCCAAUGGUUUAAAGCAUUAUCCGAGCAAAAAAGAGCAUGCGUGUUGCACUGGGUGUUACACACAAACAAUCAUGGAACACUGCAUCAGAAACUAAGGAUGUGCUGUAUGGUGACUAACAUCACAUAAUGAAAAAUUAAAAAAAAAAAAAGAGCAAAGUUGUUGAGGCCAAACUUGGGAAACAUCUCAGAAUGUAGGUCAAAGGGAUGUGGUGAGAGCAGAGGGCCAGGCAGCAGGGUGGAGAGCCACCUCCUCCGGAUGAUAGAAUGCCUGAAGAUGAAGCCAGAACAGUUGGAGCAAAGGACGAUGGCGUCUUCUGAAGGUGAUGCACUCACUCAAAGAUACAGACACACAUGCAUCAGAAGAGGCGAGACCUGCAUUAUCCAUGUGUUACAGUCGGAGAAAAAGCAUGUAGAUUGAGAGCAAGAUCGUAAAUGCGCACAAAGAGACGAUGAAAGCAGUGUGGACAACUACAUAGCACAGCGUGUUUCUAAUAAUCUGCAGAUUGUUUAUGAAAUAAGCCAGUUCCAUACCACAGACGACUCUUCAUUGGCAAGCUUAUCGCUCACUGUGUGUUCUCAAAGUCCCUUUGCUUUGUAGUUUAGAAAUUUAAAAAACUAAUAAUAAUAAGAGCCAGAACACAUGCUAUGGUAUGAACAUUUGUGUCCUCCCAAAUUUCAUAUGUCAAAUGUGAUACUAUGAUCUCGAACCUCAAGCCUCCAGAACCAACAACAACCUGUUGUUGACAGGUCACGCAGUCUGUGGUAUUUUGUUAUAGCAGCCUGCGUGGACUAAGACAAUAGGUGAAAAAUCCGAUUUUCCACAGUGCUUUCGGAGCAAUGAGUCACGAAUGUAAAGAAGGGCUGUGUAGGGCACAUCUUCAGGACGCGGGGGACACUCAUCACUGUUGGCCAGCAGUUCUUUGGUUUGAUUAUCAGACAUCACCUUAAAAUACUUAGCAAGCCCUGUAGCUCCUGAGAGAUCAAAGGCCAGGGGACACAACUGUACAGUCCUUAACGGUUCAGAGAGUAGCUGAGCUCCGGAUCACUUGGAAGGAACAUGUAAAAACAUGCGUGAUGGGAAGUGUGACAUGUGUAGUAUGUUUGUCUCAUUCAUGCCCAUCCAUGUGUGGAUUCUCAGUGCAGUUGGUAUUUGUUCCGACUGAUUCACAUACUGCUUGUUAAGCACUGUCCUGGGUGCUAGAAAUACAAAGCUGAAUAAAAUCCGAAUCCUGCCCUCCAGUUGCUAACAGUGUAGUCAAUAGGUGCUAAAGAAUCAAGGGACUUCCAGUGUGUCAUUGCGGGUCAGACGAGGAUACGAAGGGCAAGUAGGUCUUCAGGAAGCUCUUGUGGGAAGUGAUGGGUAAGAACAAGAAGACUGAAAUGGACACUCAGCAAGUCACGUGGACAGAUCUGCCUGAGUCCACUUUGAAGUAAGAAAGUCCACUCUCAGGAAAUGAAUGAACAAAGGAUUCCGGGAAAAACAAGUAAAUUACUGCCCAAAAGAACUAGAAAAACUCAAAACUAGACAGAUGAUUUUGUAUUUACAUGCCCCACAAACUAAAAGUUGCAGAUUUUAUGGGGUUUUUAAGUAAUGUUCAUAGUUUAUAAACUUCAAAAGCCAUUUGGGUUUCAAAUGGUCGUGAUUAAAUAGCUUUAGUGACAAGUGUAAGUCGUAAGACGCUUCAUCCGUGUCCCCACACCACCAUGGACUGACCCCCUUGCUUCCAGAACCUCUUGAGAGGCCUCCUGGGCCUCCAGCUCCUCUUUGCCAUCUGGCUUCUACCGCUUGGCGAGACAGUGUUCUCU